rnacentral:tRNA from 1 species
GCGGUUUUAGUCUAAUGGUUAUGAUUCAGGCUUCCCAAGCCUGCUGUACGGGUUCAAAUCCCGUAAACCGCA